rnacentral:lncRNA from 1 species
UGGCUUUUCUCCAGGCUUCUCCCUGGGGCGCCUGGGGCCUGGUUGUUUCAGGACCGCCAGAGACUGCAAAACACUGCAGGGCAAUGUGCAGUUGUUGAGUGAAUCUGUUAAAAAGAACAAACUUUGUAAAGGACGUUUUACGCACCAUUAGGGAACGUGAACUGCACCAUUAUAAGAAGGGUAAUUUUGUCCGUUUCACUGAGAACAGUGCCCCUUCACCUCCAAAUUCAUGUCCAUCUGGAACACCAGAAUGUCCAGGCCUCCUCAGGGACUUCAGUGUUGCAACACAGCCAAGGAGCAUGAAGUGCUGGCACAGACUGCAGCCUCUGGGAGAGCCACAUCUGGAGAGAUACAGCUGCAGGCUUCUGUGUAAAUCUGAGUACUGCUUGGGUAGUUACUGGUGGCCCUUCCACAGCACAGCAACUCAUCAUCUGUGCCAUCUGUCAUCUGACCCCUCAAGUUGUAUGUUGUGCUGUGGGACUACAGACAAGUGGAGG